GCCUGGGUGGCUCAGUCGGUUGGAGCAUCCGACUCCGGCUCGGGUCGUGAGCUCACGGUUCGUGGGUUCGAGCCCCGCGUCGGGCU
rnacentral:tRNA from 1 species